rnacentral:tRNA from 1 species
GCGAUUGUAGCUCAGUGGUAGAGGGCUUUGCCUAGCAUGUAGGAAGCCCUGGGUUUGAUCCCCAGAACCUCA